GUUAAGUUUUAUUCUUGCUUUUUCAUUCAGUUUUUAUUUGUUCUAUAUGUAAGUUUUUGUGUGUAUUUAAUGUUUUGGUUCUAGAUGAAUUGAUGUAUUGUUUUAUCAUUCUCAUUAGUUAUUAUUGGUUGAUCAAGUAUUUUUGUAUUCAGCAAUAUUUUUAGUUUCGGUUAAAUUUUGUGCCAGCAGCCGCGGUUAUACCUUGGAGGCAUUUGAAUGUGUUUGGCAUAUGUAGUUAUAUUGUUUAGUUUUUUUAAUUUUGUUUUAAUAGUUGUUAGGUGAAAUUUUUUUUGUUUUUGUGUUUUAUUUUUCUAUUUGGAGGCUAUGAAAUUCUUUUUAUAAACUAGGAUUAGAUACCCUAUUAUUUUUGAAUGUUAAUUUUUUGUGUUUGAGUAGUAUUAGUUAUGUUCUUGAAACUUAAAGAAUUUGGCGGUAUCUCAUUCCGUCCAGAGGAAUCUGUCUCGUUAUCGAUAGUCCGCGUUGGACCUUACUUGGUUUAUUAUGGUUUGUAUACCGCCGUUUAUUGAUUAUCUUUUUAGAGUUUUUAAUUUUCUGGUUUCUUUAUUUUGAUUUAUUUCAGGUCAAGGUGCAGCUUGUUUCUAAGUGGAAUGAUGGAUUACAUUAUUAUUUGUUUAUUGGAUUAUUGAUUUUAAUAUUGAUAUGAAAUUGGAUUUGGUUGUAAUUGUUUGUAGAUUGUUAUUAUGAUAAAUGGUUCUGAGAUAUGCACACAUCGCCCGUCGCUCUCGUUUUAUUGUUAAUGAGAUAAGUCGUAACAAAGUGGUUGUACCGGAAGGUGCAGCUGGAUUGAU
rnacentral:ncRNA from 1 species